UUUUUUUUUUCUUUUUUUUUGAGUGUUUCAUCAUUGAAAUCUUGUUGGACCAGGAGCAGAUGAAAAACCACGGUUUGCAAAAGCUUGGGUUUGUGACGCAGUAACUGCCAAAGUCUCCGUUCUCCGCUCCACUUCUUAUACAUCCACUUCCAGACAAAUAGAUCCAUCUUAGUGUAACGAGAUUAAAUCUUUUUUUAAUUACACAAAAUAUUGACUGUCUAAGUUUAGUUUCUCCCCCUGAAUUCAGCAUUGGGUAACCCCUCCUUAGUUUGUUCUUCUUCUGUGGUUUCUUCUUUAUAUGUUGGGCGCUCGCUUUCCCUCUCCCCUUCCUGUUUUACUGUUCGGUUGGAGAGGAGCUAAAACGGGCAGCUAACACGCGAUUUCUGUGUCUUUCCUUUCUGGAAAACUGUCAGGUAUGUGUUAGAGUUUUGUUGCCCGUUGGGGCCCUUCCUGUUUUACUGUUCGGUUGGAGAGGAGCUAAAACGGGCAGCUAACACGCGAUUUCUGUGUCUUUCCUUUCUGGAAAACUGUCAGAUCCGCAAUAAAUGGAGGUGAUCUCCGAGGGUG